AGUGAACGCUGGCGGUAGGCCUAACACAUGCAAGUCGAACGGCAGCACAGUAAGAGCUUGCUCUUACGGGUGGCGAGUGGCGGACGGGUGAGGAAUACAUCGGAAUCUACUUUUUCGUGGGGGAUAACGUAGGGAAACUUACGCUAAUACCGCAUACGACCUACGGGUGAAAGCAGGGGAUCUUCGGACCUUGCGCGAUUGAAUGAGCCGAUGUCGGAUUAGCUAGUUGGCGGGGUAAAGGCCCACCAAGGCGACGAUCCGUAGCUGGUCUGGGAGGAUGGUCAGCCACACUGGAACGGGGACACGGUCCAGACUCCUACGGGAGGCAGCAGUGGGGAAUAUUGGACAAUGGGCGCAAGCCUGAUCCAGCCAUACCGCGUGGGUGAAGAAGGCCUUCGGGUUGUAAAGCCCUUUUGUUGGGAAAGAAAAGCAGCAGGUUAAUACCCCGCUGUUCUGACGGUACCCAAAGAAUAAGCACCGGCUAACUUCGUG
rnacentral:rRNA from 1 species